UCAAGGGUUGUUGCAUGCAGUUCUAUUCAAAUGUAAACAUAGAUUGAAAAACACAAAAGAACUAAUGCCUAUUGUCUCUAGAUUUGUAUACAUGGACUUAACGUGGUUCCGAUGAGCUGAAAUAUUCAUUGAUUCCACGACGUCUGCUUGGAUUUGUCUAGGGAAGCAAACGCACGAAAAAAAAUCAAGGUUCUGCAGUCACAGUGCCGGAAACUAUGUCAAUUGAUACUGUCUCGGAAAUCAAUUAGUGUCAGCACAGCUUACGCACAUAGAGAGGGCUUGGUUUGAUUAAAGCAGCUUUGGGUCAAGGUAUGUGGCGCAGAAAUUUCACUGAUUUUACAGUAAAAACCUGGAUUGUGAAUGUCAGAUGUCGCUAUGAACUGCAUUAAUGGUAGUAUCAGAGGCUUGUGGCUUAAGGAGUUAAAAGUCUUUGGGUAAGAGCAGUGUUCGGCAUUGUUAUUGGCUGGAUGCGUUUCAUAUGAAGAUGGAUUCUAGAAGAUAUCAUUUGUGUAGUGAUGGAGGUUCGAUCUGAACGCGUUUUAUGGUGAUAUGCAUCGCCCUUCUUGUUCUUGAGUCAAGUCAGAACAGGAAGCUGUGGUCCUGAAUCCUUCCUGAGAACGAGAGGAAUUUAAAACCACAUUCAGUUUUUGUCUGCAUAUAUCAAAAGGCUCUUUGUGGGAGUUCAAGAUUACUUCACAGCGUAAUUGGAGUGGAAUGUCUUACAGCGUGCAAAGGGCUCCCUCGCUGCCAAUGGCGGUCAUCUACUGCAGACAGAUAAGACUCACCCAAGGAAAACGACAAAUAAUUCUACACUAUAAUUAAUUGACUCUUCCAUUUUCCAAUUAAAGCACUCAGCUUUGACUGGCAUCGGGUAUUUUCUGCUUAGACAGGAAAUAACUUUGGUUUUAGUUUAGUAAACGUUAAAUUAAGAAUUUAUCAAGAAACUCAUAGUUCAAGACAUAUCUUGAAACGUGAGAUUUCUAAGGUUCACUCUAUCUCCUUUCGUUUGAGAGAAAGGAAACAUUUUGUCCUAUAACUACCCUUAUAACGUCUCUGUAGUGAACAAACUACGACUAGAUAUCAGAAUAGAGCAAUUAAAAGCGAUUUCAGUUUUAGAAUUGUCGUUAGAUAGGUAAAUGGUUUAGCACAAACACAGACAGAAGUUUUCAGUGAUUUAUGACCUCUUUGCGAAAGUAUAAUUAUCUUCACCUCUGAGUAGUUGAGCAAUUAUUGCCUUUGACGGAAUUGGUCUACUUUCUUAUAUGUUGUACAAUAAUUUGCAACCGUCAAUCAAGAUUUUGCAGCACAAAUGUGAAAGGUUUGGCUGCCAUUGAAGUAAAGAUUGAAUUGAAAUUAUUUUGAAUAGGAGUUGCUCACUAGUUGUGUAAAUAGGUGUUUGAUGGCAAAGCGCCGCUUCAUUUUUGAGUUUACUUAUUAUUCAUUUCUACUCUCAUUGCAAACUUUUCAUCCAAAUUUCUUGUAGGCCUUUCCUCAUCAAGGACAAUUUCUUCUCCAUCACACAAAGUACGCUGGCUGUUUUCGUUUGCAUUUGCAGUUACGGUUCCCUUUGUUGUCAGACAAGAUGGCUUCCCGCGAGUUUCAGUGAUUUAUGAACCCUGACACGUCUUAGACGAUCGUCUUUGGAUGUCAAAAGAGUUAAAUUUAGAUUUUCACUUAAAGUUCUGAACGAAAUUAUUACUUAGAGAUGAGCGGAAACAGUCAGGGUACUGCUUGUCUGGAUAAGAAGGAAAACCGUGACUGUUAUGGAGAGUUUUUUAAUGAAAAUCAAUGGCUGCUUUGUAUCGCACAUUUGAGCUGUCUUUGGAGUGGCACUGUCACUACUGUUUUGUGGACAAUAUUGUGUAAUUUUUUUAUGAGGAAGUUAUUCUCCUAAAUUCUUACCAAAGCUGAUAGGCAAGUAUUUUAUAUAACUAUGAUAAGAAGAUGGAAGUGCCAUCAAAAUGGCGUACUCUUUUCUAAUGGAAAGAAUUCACUUCGUUAAGUUUAAAACGUUGCCUUUAACUUAGCUUUAGGACUUUGUUUCAAUUAAAGAAUCUAUCAACACAAUUUCUCUUUUACUGAAGUCGAAUGCCGUAGAGUGCCCAUAGAAAUAAAUAAAGACAGUUUAAAAUAGAAGAGUUCAGAAAGACAGCUCCUAAAGCGUGCCUCAUACUUCCCUUACGCUCGUAGAAUUCACGACUAAAACAGCGACAAACAAGGUAUACAUAGAGAGACGUAUGAAAAUAUCUUUUAUUACCUACAGGAGAGUAACAUCUAACAAGUGCUAUGUGACCUGUAUUUUAAAGUUAUCCUUCGAAGCAAUAAACGUAGAAAACGAGAA
rnacentral:lncRNA from 1 species